AGCUGCUCAGAGCGGACGGGACAAUGUCGAGCGGAGCAAACUAACAGAGUUAGUGGGUGUGUGAGGAGGAAUGGAGCCAGCGGAGUGGGCAGGGAGGCUCCGUAAAGACACAGUGUAGGCCGCAGAUCCCAAAUAACAAGGAUGUUAGAAGAGGAGGAACUCAAGGGAUACUUUGAGGGAGAUGAGAAACUCAAACCAAACAUCACGUCAAAAUCUGAAAGUCACUUGAUUCACCAGGACCUGAAUAACACCAGCCUUUAAAUCUGCAGGCUCCAGCGGGAGAAUUUAAAUUUGAAAAUGGUGAAGUUGUUUCGGAGAUACCAGCGCCUAUUGUGACCUCUAGUUACCUGUGGAGAAGAUGAUGUUUGACCUCCUUGAACCACUGCAGUCUGUGUGGUGAAGGUGCUCCCACAAUGCUAUUAGGGUGUUAGAAGGGGAGGAUUUGUAGUCGGGAAACUCAAACCAAACAUCACAUCAGGAUCU